rnacentral:rRNA from 1 species
UACGUAGGGUGCGAGCGUUGUCCGGAAUUAUUGGGCGUAAAGAGCUUGUAGGCGGUUUGUCGCGUCUGCUGUGAAAUCUCAAGGCUCAACCUUGAGCUUGCAGUGGGUACGGGCAGACUAGAGUGUGGUAAGGGAGACUGGAAUUCCUGGUGUAGCGGUGAAAUGCGCAGAUAUCAGGAGGAACACCGAUGGCGAAGGCAGGUCUCUGGACCACUACUGACGCUGAGAAGCGAAAGCAUGGGGAGCGAACAGG